rnacentral:rRNA from 1 species
AUGCAAGUCGAGCGCCCCGCAAGGGGAGCGGCAGACGGGUGAGUAACGCGUGGGAAUCUACCCUUUUCUACGGAAUAACGCAUGGAAACGUGUGCUAAUACCGUAUACGGCCGAGAGGCGAAAGAUUUAUCGGAGAAGGAUGAGCCCGCGUUGGAUUAGCUAGUUGGUGGGGUAAAGGCCUACCAAGGCGACGAUCCAUAGCUGGUCUGAGAGGAUGAUCAGCCACACUGGGACUGAGACACGGCCCAGACUCCUACGGGAGGCAGCAGUGGGGAAUAUUGGACAAUGGGCGCAAGCCUGAUCCAGCCAUGCCGCGUGUGUGAUGAAGGCCCUAGGGUUGUAAAGCACUUUCACCGGAGAAGAUAAUGACGGUAUCCGGAGAAGAAGCCCCGGCUAACUUCGUGCCAGCAGCCGCGGUAAUACGAAGGGGGCUAGCGUUGUUCGGAUUUACUGGGCGUAAAGCGCACGUAGGCGGACUAUUAAGUCAGGGGUGAAAUCCCGGGGCUCAACCCCGGAACUGCCUUUGAUACUGGUAGUCUUGAGUUCGAGAGAGGUGAGUGGAAUUCCGAGU